AUGGAGUGUGAAGCCUGUGGUAUGCAGCCUCGUCCCUCAUGUGUGCCCAACCCUUGCCACCCUGGGGUGAAGUGCGUGGAAACACCUCAGGGUAUACAGUGUGGGCCCUGUCCUGACGGCAUGGAAGGAAACGGUACCCAUUGCACUGACAUCGAUGAGUGCACUGUUAUGCCGUGUCACAUGGGUGUUCGCUGCAUCAACACCUCUCCGGGUUUCCGCUGUGGUUCCUGUCCUGCUGGAUACACUGGGCCGCAGGUGCAGGGCGUCGGCCUCGCCUACGCUACCACCAACAAACAGGUGUGUAAAGACAUCAAUGAGUGUGAUGGUCCCAACAAUGGAGGCUGUGUGGAGAACUCUGUCUGUAUGAACACCCCCGGCUCCUUCCGGUGUGGUCCAUGUAAGCCCGGUUAUGUUGGAGAUCAACGGCGUGGCUGUAAGCCUGAGAGAAGCUGUGGGAAUGGCCAACCCAACCCCUGCCAUGCCAGUGCAGAGUGUAUCGUCCACCGAGAGGGGACCAUUGAGUGUCAGGAUAACUGUCUAACUGUUCCCAACUCUGGUCAAGAAGACGCCGACAGCGAUGGAAUUGGAGACGCCUGUGAUGAAGAUGCGGAUGGAGACGGGAUCCUAAACACACAGGAUAACUGUGUGCUGGUGCCCAAUGUGGACCAGAGGAAUGUUGAUGAGGACGACUUUGGCGAUGCCUGCGAUAACUGCCGUGCAGUGAAAAACAACGACCAGAAGGACACGGAUGUGGACAAAUUUGGUGACGAAUGUGAUGAAGAUAUAGAUGGAGAUGGAAUCCUCAAUCACCUCGACAACUGUAAAAGGGUUCCCAACGCUGACCAGAAAGAUCGAGAUGGAGACAAAGUCGGAGACGCAUGCGACAGUUGUCCUUAUAUACCCAACCCUGAGCAGACGGACGUGGACAAUGACCUGAUUGGAGACCCCUGUGACACCAACAAGGACAGUGAUGGCGAUGGUCACCAGGACUCUCGAGACAACUGUCCAGCUGUCAUCAACAGCUCGCAGCUGGACACUGACAAAGACGGAAAGGGAGACGAGUGUGAUGAUGAUGAUGAUAAUGACGGUAUCCCUGACCUUCUGCCACCUGGUCCUGAUAACUGUCGCCUGAUUCCUAACCCUCUGCAGGAGGACUCUGAUGGCAACGGUGUUGGUAACGUGUGCGAGAAGGACUUUGACAAUGACACUAUAGUCGACACCAUCGAUGUUUGUCCAGAAAAUGCAGAGGUCACCCUCACUGACUUCAGGGAGUACCAGACGGUUGUUCUAGACCCGGAAGGAGAUGCACAGAUCGACCCCAACUGGGUGGUUCUGAACCAGGGAAGAGAGAUCGUCCAGACUAUGAACAGUGAUCCUGGGUUGGCUGUUGGUUACACUGCUUUCAGCGGCGUUGAUUUUGAAGGCACGUUUCAUGUUAAUACGGUAACGGAUGACGACUACGCUGGUUUCAUCUUUGGCUACCAGGACAGCUCCAGUUUCUAUGUGGUCAUGUGGAAGCAGGUGGAGCAGAUCUACUGGCAGGCAAACCCAUUCAGAGCUGUGGCAGAGCCGGGAAUCCAACUGAAGGCAGUCAAGUCAAACACUGGUCCUGGUGAAAAUCUGAGGAACGCCCUGUGGCACACCGGUGACACCAGUGACCAGGUGAAACUCCUGUGGAAAGACGCUCGUAAUGUUGGCUGGAAAGACAAGACGUCGUACCGCUGGUUCCUCCAGCACCGACCUGCUGAUGGUUACAUCAGAGUUCGCUUCUACGAGGGUCCUCAGAUGGUGGCAGACACGGGAGUCAUCAUAGACGCCACAAUGAGGGGAGGCCGGCUAGGAGUCUUCUGCUUUUCCCAGGAAAACAUCAUCUGGGCCAACCUGAGAUAUCGUUGCAACGACACUCUUCCUGAGGACUUUGAAACCUACAGAGCCCAGCAGGUCCAGUUGGUCGCAUGAUGACAACAAACAGGUCCAAGCAAACAUUGUUUUCCAACGCACAACUGGUUAGGAAAAUGUCUCCAAUUUUAAGAUGAAAACUGCUCGAGUGAGGAGAAAAUUACACCGCUAUAAAAACUCUUCAGAGAGGAGCCGGUAAUAUA
ensembl:lncRNA cartilage oligomeric matrix protein